CUUUAAUUACCUUUGCUUGUGUGGC
rnacentral:piRNA from 1 species